GGUCGUCUAUCUUUUGCGAUGACGUCCAGUCCGAAAUACCUUGUGGUCUCUCUGAAACGCCAUGCUCGUUAGUCUCUUUGUCAGACAGCAAAGCUUGUGCUGAGAACAAAGGGAGCCGUGGGGAUGGGAACCACCGUCUUUCGCCGGAGCCCCAAAGACUGGAGAACAACGAAGGGUCUUGAUAGACCAUUGAGGGCGUUCGACGGUAAAAAUUGGAUGUAACCUAUUGCAGGAAACGAAUCUGACCGUGGUGGUUCGGUAGAUUCGGAUUUCGGAUAUGCGGUUGUUUGUCAAGUACAAUCUUGAGUCUGGUAUCAGGGCAACACCUACUGGUGGAAGGAAAGCUGGACCGACAAGACGGGCGGCGGGAGCAAUGUUUUCACGGUGACUUAGGAAGGAAGGCGUUCAGCCCACGGUGGUGUGCUAGACUCGUGUCACCACAGCACGAGAAUAAUCUUUGCACAAUAUUGGAAGAACGAAUCAGAGGAAGAAAUAAUCAGAAAAAUAUUGGAAUGCGCAGAGAUGGACAGAUUAACCAUGAGAUUGAAAGAUAAAGAAGAUACAGAUUACUAUCAAACUUGGAACUUAUUUUAUUGUUGGCUAGAGGAAAGAAUGAAGGAUUAGGAAUUGAAUAUGUAUUAGCAUAGCUGAGCCUAGACUGCUCGUUGGCUGAAAAAUUAACACAUAUAUAUAAAAGAAAAUCAAUAAAAUCUUUAUUUAAAAAAAUCA